GGGUCUCUAUCUGCAGAUUACUCCUUUUGGAGCCCUUCUGUGAGCCCAGUACACAGCAAUGUGCAAAAUUUUAGUAAGAGACUCCGUGCCCUAAAGAUUGUACCUUUGAAGUACACAAGAAUGGUAAAACGUGGCAGAAGGGAAGAACUGUUAUAUUUACAGGAAACUGAAGCUCAGAGAUUUUAACUUUUUCUAAGAUCAGGCAGGAGGCUGACUCUCUGGAUCAAGGUGAAUGUACAUUUAAAAUGCAUGAUUGAUUAUUUAAGGAAUCUGUGAGACUUCUGGAUUCUGUACACAGAAUGAGAAAGUGGAAAAGCAACUAUUUCAUAUACAUCCCAUUUUACCCUCCAGAGCUCUCCCAUUGAUUCAAGGAAAACUGAUUGAAGAAAAUGUACUCAUUAUGCAUGGACAAAGCUUGUAGAAAGAAAUAAUAGGCUCUUGAACAGCUGAGAAGGAAGUUCUAACCUCAGAGUACCACGAGAGGUUUUUUGAGGCAACCUCAUUAUCCUUCUAAGGCUGGAACUGCAACCAGGAGUGUUGAUCCUUUCAUCUUGCAACAUGUAAGCUAUCAAGAGCUCUGCAAAUACUUGAGACCAAACUGACCUUUGGCCUUGGAAAAGCCUGAGUUCUGGGCUUGCUUGAUUGUGGAGAGAUUGGAAAUGUAGGAGAAAAGGAAACACUGGUUUGAUAGGUCACUCUGUCAUUUUACCUUCUGAAGAUCACCUUGGAAAGAACAAUCAAGCAAACAACUGGUCUGGGAGAAGCAAGUGCUAAAGCUGUGUACUUUUUAAACUGUGAGGAGAGAAUUUAUGUGAACUUUUAUUUAUUACUUAUCACCUAAGUCUUGGAGGUGAUUUGAAGCAGAAGGAAGAGGAAGGAAAAAAAAUAGAAGAGGGAUUAUUUGAAGGUGAUGGAGUUUCUGAACCUGAUUAGAGAGCGUUCUCUUGCUGCCAACUCAUACAGGAUCUUUGUCUCCUUUGCUGUUUCAGAAGAUGCUGUUCCAGAGACAGGGCUCCUAGAGUUUUGUGGAAGGGGAAGUUCCUGAUGCCCGCUGUCCAAGACUUUCUAGACCAAGUGAGAAGAUUUUCUUGUUCAGACUGGUGAAGAGCUCUGAAAGUCAUCAUCACCAUGCCAUCUGGCAAGCUGUACAUUUAUGUAAGUAAAAUGAUUAUAGUAAUUUCUGCCUAUAGAUUUUAAAGUAAAAUGUCACCAUCAUUCAGUUUCCACAU